AGAGUUUGAUCCUGGCUCAGAACGUACGCUGGCGGCACGCCUAACACAUGCAAGUCGAACGAAGUAGCAAUACUUAGUGGCAGACGGGUGAGUAACAUGUAGGUAUCUGCCCUUUGGCCUGGAAUAACACGAGGAAACUUGUGCUAAUACCGGAUAAGUCUUUACGGAGAAAGCUUUAUGCACCAUUGGAUGAGCCUGCACUUGAUUAGUUUGUUGGUGGGGUAAUGGCCUACCAAGACUGUGAUCAAUAGCUGAUUUGAGAGGAUGAUCAGCCACAUUGGGACUGAGACACGGCCCAAACUCCUACGGGAGGCAGCAGUGGGGAAUCUUGCACAAUGGAGGAAACUCUGAUGCAGCGAUGCCGCGUGAGUGAAGAAGGCCUUUGGGUUGUAAAGCUCUUUCGUCGGGGAAGAAAAUGACUGUACCCGAAUAAGAAGGUCCGGCUAACUUCGUGCCAGCAGCCGCGGUAAUACGAAGGGACCUAGCGUAGUUCGGAAUUACUGGGCUUAAAGAGUUCGUAGGUGGUUGAAAAAGUUAGUGGUGAAAUCCCAGAGCUUAACUCUGGAACUGCCAUUAAAACUUUUCAGCUAGAGUAUGAUAGAGGAAAGCAGAAUUUCUAGUGUAGAGGUGAAAUUCGUAGAUAUUAGAAAGAAUACCAAUUGCGAAGGCAGCUUUCUGGAUCAUUACUGACACUGAGGAACGAAAGCAUGGGUAGCGAAGAGGAUUAGAUACCCUCGUAGUCCAUGCCGUAAACGAUGUGUGUUAGACGUUGGAAAUUUAUUUUCAGUGUCGCAGGGAAACCGAUAAACACACCGCCUGGGGAGUACGACCGCAAGGUUAAAACUCAAAUGAAUUGACGGGGACCCGCACAAGUAGUGGAGCAUGUGGUUUAAUUCGAAGAUACGCGCAGAACCUUACCAACACUUGACAUGUUCGUCGCAACUCUAAGAGAUUAGAGUUUUCGGUUCGGCCGGACGAAACACAGGUGCUGCAUGGCUGUCGUCAGCUCGUGUCGUGAGAUGUUGGGUUAAGUCCCGCAACGAGCGCAACCCUCACUUUUAGUUGCCAUCAUUAAGUUGGGCACUCUGAAAGAACUGCCAGUGAUAAGCUGGAGGAAGGUGGGGAUGACGUCAAGUCCUCAUGGCCCUUACGUGUUGGGCUACACACGUGCUACAAUGGUAUCUACAACAGGAAGCAAGACUGCGAAGUUAAGCAAAUCCCUAAAAGAUACCUCAGUUCGGAUUGCACUCUGCAACUCGAGUGCAUGAAGCUGGAAUUACUAGUAAUCGUGGAUCAGCGUGCCACGGUGAAUGCGUUCCCGGGUCUUGUACACACCGCCCGUCACACCAUGGGAGUUGGUUCUACCUUAAGGCAAGGUUUCAAACCCUUGACCACGGUAUAGUCAGCGACUGGGGUGAAGUCGUAACAAGGUA
rnacentral:rRNA from 1 species